rnacentral:rRNA from 1 species
CCUACGGGAGGCAGCAGUGGGGAAUUUUGGACAAUGGGCGCAAGCCUGAUCCAGCAAUGCCGCGUGCAGGAUGAAGGCCUUCGGGUUGUAAACUGCUUUUGUACGGAGCGAAACGGUCUGCUUUAAUACAGUAGGCUAAUGACGGUACCGUAAGAAUAAGCACCGGCUAACUACGUGCCAGCAGCCGCGGUAAUACGUAGGGUGCGAGCGUUAAUCGGAAUUACUGGGCGUAAAGCGUGCGCAGGCGGUUAUAUAAGACAGAUGUGAAAUCCCCGGGCUCAACCUGGGACCUGCAUUUGUGACUGUAUAGCUAGAGUACGGUAGAGGGGGAUGGAAUUCCGCGUGUAGCAGUGAAAUGCGUAGAUAUGCGGAGGAACACCGAUGGCGAAGGCAAUCCCCUGGACCUGUACUGACGCUCAUGCACGAAAGCGUGGGGAGCAAACAGGAUUAGAUAUCCUGGUAGUCCACGCCCUAAACGAUGUCAACUGGUUGUUGGGUCUUCACUGACUCAGUAACGAAGCUAACGCGUGAAGUUGACCGCCUGGGGAGUACGGCCGCAAGGUUGAAACGUCAAAGGAAUGACGGCGNGAGAGNGCGAGGACGACGACGAGGGGAGGAGG